UUCACUGUUGAGAAAAUGGCUUCAAAGUCUUUUGUUUUGUUGGGUCUCUUUGCACUUAUUUUCGUCGUGUCAGAAGUUGCCACAGCAUCUGCAUUGCAGUCAGGUAUUUCAAAUAUUUCAUACAGUUCAGUCUAAUUAUUUCAUACAGUUCGUUUCGCUUAUUCAACACACCAACUUAUAUGAAUGGUGGAAUUUAAAUAUAAAAUGUACCAGCCCAGAAUGUCUACGAGGCUAUACCACUCGAACUAAAGUAACAUUAAAUAUAUCACCAAAGUUUUCCAUCCUCUCCAACCUUUGAAAGUUGGUUUGAACUAUGGUCAAUUAUUUGGAUUUUCUCAAGUCCAAAAAACAGAAGUAUGAAGCAAAAAAACAUAUACAUAAACAAUUCGUUUUUUAGAUUCAUUUAUUUUAAAAUAUGUUAAUUGUAAAGUCAAAAGAUUUUUUUUUUAAUAUUUUAUAUUAAUAAGAUUUUAUAUAUUUAGUUUCUUUUAUUUUAUUAUAUUAGGUGUAUUUGGUUUUGAUUAUUGAGUGUAUAUGCAUUUUAGAUGUAAUAUAAAAAAAAUAAUAUUAAAUGUUUCGAAGUGUUAAGAAGAAUUAGAAAAAAGCUUGAUUGUAAAAACAAACAAUACAAUUUUAGGUUGUGUUUAUAUAUAGAAGAUAUAGUAAUUAUUAUUUUAAAAUUUAAUGAACAGUUUAUUUACAUUAGGUUUAUGCAAAAAUUAACUUAUUAUAUUAUCUUAAUAUUUGAAGUGGUCCAACUUAAAAUAUAAUGAAUUUUUUAGUUUAUAAUAUUAUAUCUCAUGUUUAUCCUAAUAAACACAUACGCAUAUAAAGUAAUAUGGAAAAUCUUAUAUUAAGUAUCACCAUGAUCUCAACUAAGAACUGUAAAAUUAACCAGAUAUUUUUUAAUUUUAUAUAAAAUAAACUUUUAAAAUUAUUAUUUGAUAAGAUAGUAAAGGUAUUAGCCCCAUUAUAUUAUAAAUUAUAAUAUAACUCAGAUAAUAAGAUAAUAACUUUGAGAGUUUUUUAUUGAAGCAUAUGUUUAUAUUAACAACUAAAAUUUUACUAAAAAAUUAAAAAGGAGUAAAAGUAUAAUUCGUAGUACUUUUAUAAUGUAGUUCAUACCUAUAUUUGAAUAAGUUUUAAAUUUUCUUGAUUAAUUGCAUAUCAAAAAUUACAUCCACAUAUUAGAACAUAUAUAUUGGAUAUACAAUAUAACCAAACAUUUUAAUCUCGUAUAUUCAUAUUACAGAAUCAAAGAACAUAUUUCAAACAAAUAAAAUGUUAUAUAAAUUUUUAUUUUUAUUUUUUGAUGAAAUUUCAAAUUUAUUGAUUUUUUUUGUCAACAAUUUCAAAUUUAUUGAUAAUCAACAAUGAUUAGGCAUUUACAAAGAUUGAAAAAAGUAGCUAGCUUCUGAACAGUAGGAAAUAAAGAAUGAAAAAAAUUCUAAGUUAGCUAAGAGAGAUCUUGUCUAAAAUUAUUAAUAUUUAAAUUAUUAAUAAUGUUAUAUAAAUUAUUAAUAUUUAGAGUGUAACUGUACAUGACUUUUAAUUUAACUAGAGAUCUGAUUUUAUAUAUACAUAAUAUAUUUAAAAUAAUUCAACGGAACUUUAAAACCGAGAGAGUAAUGCACAUCUGCAAGUGCUAAGACUUUUUUUAAAAUAAUAAUAGGCACAGUGAACUUAGGGAGUGAGGAAACUGUGGAACCUGAUCAAUAUGGUGGUGGUCACGGCGGCCAUGGUGGCUACAACAUAGAGGGAGGUAGCGGAGGUCUCUGCGCCCAUGGCUGCUGCUCCAAAAGAAGUGGCACUGUAUGCUAUAGGUGUUGCUCUUACGCCGGAGAAACUGUUCAGACACAGCCCGGCCACUAAAAGUGGAUCAUGUAUUAACCACCACCAUAUGUACACUUAUCUGUGUUUAUAAGUAUAAUUAACGUGGUGGUGUGCGUCUGUAAUUGAUGGAUGUGCCUUAAAUGUGGCGAAGAACAGGAUGAAUUGGGAAGGAAAACAAUAAGAACAAGGUUCAAAUAUGUAAUGAAUUGGGAAGGCAAACUAUAAGAAUAUGGUUCGAUUAUGUAUGUAUUUGGAUUUGAGUUGUAAUGGUGGUGUUUUUUAUAAUAAAUUUGUUUGUAGUUUAUGUUAUUCUUUCUCUGUUGUGUAACAGUUCUCUUUCGAAUAAGUCUGCGUGCUCUUAAUUAAGGCUGGGAAAACACAAAUGUUAGUGGCUGAAUUGUUGGAGGUUCAAUAGUCACACACCCAUCUCCGAUAGUCCCGAAAAAUAUGAAAGCCCAAUUAGCUCUCUCUAUCGGCCUACUGAGAAGAUGCCAUCUUUCAUGCAGCUCGGUGAGAAUGUCCUGGCUGGCAACUCGGGAUUAGAUAACUAGUGAUGUCAAUAAAGUAAGCCUGGAAUGCGGCACCAGUAGGAAGGCUACGGAAAUGAUGCCCUAAAGCUAACUGCCAUAUCACUUACGGCUAGAAUGCAUGACCCAUAUAAAUAAGAGAGGCCUGCCGAGGGAAAAUCUCUCUAGCCAGUUUCGCAAUAAAAACUAAGCAAAUCGACCAUCCAUUCUUUGAACGGUCGAUGACAUGCUCACUCUCAUAUUUUAACUCACCUGGUCCAUCUGUAAUUUUACUCACUCAUCUAAUCGUCAACUCUCGCCCUUUCUCUAUCUUUUACUUGUUUGUUGGUGGAAUCAAGUUUCCCCCUUCCACAAUUGCCCCACUCAGUGGCAGAUCCAAUAAUUUUUUAAACAUGUGGCAGUUCAUUGCUAAAAAAAUGAUGAUGGACAAUCACUACAAGAAAAAUGAGUAUUCAUAGCAUUUAUAGAUAGCGUUUUUUAUUAAGUGCUAUGUUUGACGCCUCCGUAUUUUUUACAUAGCGUUUAAUCAUUGACAAACGCUAUAAUAUCUGGGGCAAGAAAAAAUAAAUUGACUAGCGCAUACAUCUUAGAAAACGUUAUAUUAGAUGGUAACCGCGAAAAUACUUUGGUAAUACUGUCUAUUAAAAAAAAGAGCUAACCAAAUAUCAGUGCAAAAACAUAGAAGACGUCCUGACCCGAGGUUGGGCGCAGCAAAAGCAAGAUCCCAAGGCGAUCAGAUUAGACCGAACCGAGCGAGACAAGAAACCCUCUCAAAGAUCAGCAAGAGACUCCGGGAAUCAAAAUCGGUGCAGAUACCAGAACCGGCCGAUCGAGAAGGCAGAAGGGAUGGGAGUGUCCACGUGGCCAGACAUCUCUCACCUCUCCGUCUCAAGGCCGGAGCUGAUCAAUGAUCUGAGGAAGAUUGGCCAACAUGUCAAGUGGACUCUGAAGAUGAAAGCACCCGAUUCUUUCCAGAACCCUGGUCUCUGGUGCGACUUCCACCGAGACCAUAGUCACAAAAUGGAGGACUGCGUCGCACUGAAGAUCGAGGUCAACGAAUUGCUUAAGAAAAGACACCUCAUGGAGUUCCUUUCCGAGAAGGCCAAGAGCCAUCUAAGCAAGGAGACAACAGGAAAGCCCACUGACGCUGUUCCCCUCUCGCCACCUAGACAGGACCGAGUGAUACACGUCAUAUCUGGCGGUUCAGACAUCAGCGGAAUAAGCCACACAGCCGCGAAGAAGAGCACUUGGAACGCAAAGCAUGGCCUAGAGGCAGCCAAGCCGAAACACCUGCUCCUGGGUACGGAAGAAAUAAGUUUCACGGCAAAGGAGCAGGAAAAGGUUCUCACCCCACAUCACAACGCCCUGGUCAUAACACUCAUUGUAGCGAACUGCCUGAUGAAAAGGAUACUGGUAGAUAAAGGAAGCUCUGGCAACAUCAUCUACAAGGAUCUGGGGCUGGAGGAAAUUGCUCUAAAUUGGAGGAUAACCCCGCUCAUAGGGUUCAGCGGAGAAGUCAAGCAGACCUCCGGAGAGGUGACCCUCCCGGUAUACGCUGAAGGGAUCAACAUGUCGACCAAGUUCCUUGUUGUUGACUGCAAUUCAUCCUACAAUAUGAUCCAGGGACGACCUGGAUUCACGGCAUGGGAGCCGUCCCUUCGAAUCUUCAGCAGAUGGGGAAAUUCCCAACGCCCUAGGGCAUAAGGGCAAUCAGAGGGGAUCAAGAGUAUUCCCGUUCCUGUUUCCAGACUACCUUGAAGGGAAAGACCAAGGUCUUAUAGCAAUUACAAAGCAAACUUUCGGCUCAUCACACCGAGGAACCGGAGGUAGAAGAAAUGGACGACGUACCAUUAAUCGAAGGAGACAAGACCCAACAUCUCAAGAUCGGCUCCAAGCUGACCGAAUGACUAAGGAGGAGGUUAAUAGACUUCCUCAGGUCUAACUCCGACCGCUUCGCUUAGUCCCACACAAAUAUGCCUGGGAUCGGCCCGAAGAUCAUCAUGCACAAGCUGCAGGUGGAUCCCCUACAUCAACCCGUCAGACAAAAGAGGAGGAAGUUUGCUCUCGAAAGGGACGCAAUCAUCAACGAUGAAAUCAAAAUCCGGCUCGGCGCGGGGUUCAUUCGCGAGGUGCAAUAUCCGGAAUGGCUAGCCAUCAUCGUUGUAGUCAACAAAAAGAACAGAAAGUGGAGAGUCUGCAUAGACUUCACAGACCUCAACAAGUCCUGCCCAAAGGACCCUUGCCCUCUGUCUCACAUCGACAAGCUGGUCGACUCCACCGCGGGGCAUCAACUGAUGAGCUUCAUGGACGCGUUCUCUGGUUACAAUCAAAUACUCAUACACCCAAAAGACCAGGAGAAGACAUCCUUCAUGACGUCUAGAGAGAUCUAUUGUUACAAGAUUAUGCCCUUUGGCCUAAAGAACGCAUGAUCAACCUAUUAACGACAGGUGAACAUUAUGUUUGCGGACCAGAUAGGGCGAACCAUGGAGGUCUACAUCGACGACAUGCUGGUCAAGUCCCUAGAGGCUGAGGACCACAUAUCUCACCUGCAGCACGCCUUCUCCACUCUCCGGAAGUACAACAUGAAGCUCAACCCAUCUAAAUGUUCAUUUGGGGUCAGUUCCGGUAAGUUUCUCGGGUACAUUGUAACCCCCGGGGCAUCGAAGCCAACCCGGAGAAAAUCAGGGCCAUCCAUUCGAUCCCUUCCCCGAAGAACGUCAAGGAGGUCCAAAAGCUACCAGGAAGAAUGGCAGCCCUGAGCAGGUUCAUCUCCAGGCUCUCCGACAAGUCUCAAGCCUUCUUUGGAACCCUCAAAAACCCAUAGGACUUUCACUGGACGGAAGAGUGCGAAUCCGCUCUCCAAGAGCUAAAGGCGUAUCUAACCACUCCUCUUAUCCUAUCCAAGCCACUGCUCGGUGAGGUCCUACUGCUAUAUCUAGCAGUCUCAGAGUACGCCGUGAUCGCCGUCUUAGUACGCGAGGAAAAAAGCAAGCAGCUACCAAUCUAGUACGUCAAUAAGGCUCUACUGGAUGCAGAAACCCGCUACAGCCACUAGAGAAGCUGGUCUUAGCCCUGAUAGUGGCCUCCCGUAAGUUGCGGCCUUAAUUUCAGGUUCACCCAAUCAUGGUCGUCACCUCCUUCCCCAUAAAGCUGGUCCUCCACAAGCCUGAAGUCUGCGGACGCCUAGUGAAAUGGGCUGUGGAACUAGGAGAAUAUGAUGUGAUCUUUCGACCGGCCACAGAUAUAAAGUCACAGGUCCUGGCCGAAUUCUCCCAUACCUUGCUCCCAGCUUUUGGAGAAAUAAGUGCACCUCCGAAGCGAAACAAAGGAGGAAGGAGAAUGGGUCCUGCAUGUCGACGGAUCCAUCAACAUCAGAGGAUCCGGGGAAGGAAUAGUGCUUACUUCGCCGACAGGGAACAUGGCCUCAAGGGCCAUGACGUGCAACUUCAAAGCAACCAACAACGAAAGUGAAUGCGAGGCCUUAAUCGAUCGAUGCACAUCCAUUGUCGUCGAUCGAUACAGAAGAGACGCCUCGAUGAUUGAAGAUUAUGAUCGAUCGAUGUACAUCCUGUAACAUCGAUCAAUGCCGAGACGCGGACGCACGACCUAGUUGCAGUCGACUUUAAACCCAAGACUUCACCAAAUUACAAGAAUACCCGUGACGAGUUUUUAACCUAAUAGAUUAUAUACUUGCUUAAGUGUUUAGAGGCAAGAGAGCUUUCAGCCACCUUUUGUGUUUUCUUAUUUUCAGUAAAGAGUUUUAGGAGAGAAGAUCAUAGAGAGAUUUGUGAUUGGAACUCCAUUUGAUUCAUCUAUUAUAUUCUAUGCAGUUUUCAUUUACAUUUUGUGUCAUGAAAUGCUUAGCUAUGUCUAAGUAGUUCACUUGUUAGAUUCAGGGUUCAAAUAGGUUAGAGGGAUGAGCCCCAACUAUAGAUUGCUAAGUUGUGGUAUUUAUUGAUAGAUUGUUCUUAACGCUUGUUCUAGAUUAGCUACCUAGAAUAUUGAAUCUAGGAAUCUGCGUGAGUCAAGCAACCUUGACCAUCCAGUCCUGAAUCUAAUCUGUCAGACUAGACGAUAGGAAAAAGGCUACCGCUGAACCAGGAAGCUAGUGUUCAUUAUCAACUUUCACCUAUGGCUUAACUAGAAAUAUCGAUCGAUACUGUCUUCUGACAAUCGAUCGAUCUUGAGAAAGGUGUAUCGAUCGAUGUCCCUAUAGGACCAUCGAUCGACACUUUCUUGUGGUCAAUAAAUGACAGUUGAGAUCCAAGAUCUAGUUAGUUAACCAGUGAAACAUUGCCAUUGCUGAUCACUGUGUUAAGGAGUUGAGUUCUAACAUAUCAUGCAAGCAACUGAUAGGCAUCUAUAGGAUUAUUAUUUCCAACACCUGAAUAGAAACCAUGCAUCUAAUAUCUUUCCCAUAAGUUACACCCCCAAUCAUCUUGUUAGUCGAGCAAUAGACUUGCUCAUUUAGGAUUGCUGAGGACCACAUAUCUCACCUGCAGCACGCCUUCUCCACUCUCCGGAAGUACAACAUGAAGCUCAACCCAUCUAAAUGUUCAUUCGGGGUCAGUUCCGGUAAGUUCCUCGGGUACAUUGUAACCCUCGGGGCAUCGAAGCCAACCCGGAGAAAAUCAGGGCCAUCCAUUCGAUCCCUUCCCCGAAGAACGUCAAGGAGGUCCAAAAGCUACCAGGAAGAAUGGCAGCCCUGAGCAGGUUCAUCUCCAGGCUCUCCGACAAGUCUCACGCCUUCUUUGGAACCCUCAAAAACCCAUAGGACUUUCACUGGACGGAUGAGUGCGAAUCCGCUCUCCAAGAGCUAAAGGCGUAUCUAACCACUCCUCUUAUCCUACCCAAGCCACUGCUCGGUGAGGUCCUACUGCUAUAUCUAGCAGUCUCAGAGCACGCCGUGAUCGCCGUCUUAGUACGCGAGGAAAAAAGCAAGCAACUACCAAUCUAGUACGUCAAUAAGGCUCUCCUGGAUGCAGAAACCCGCUACAGCCAUCUAGAGAAGCUGGUCUUAGCCCUGAUAGUGGCCUCCCGUAAUUUGCGGCCUUAAUUUCAGGCUCACCCAAUCAUGGUCGUCACCUCCUUCCCCAUAAAGCUGGUCCUCCACAAGCCUGAAGUCUGCGGACGCCUAGUGAAAUGGGCUGUGGAACUAGGAGAAUAUGAUGUGAUCUUUCGACCGGCCGCAGAUAUAAAGUCACAGGUCCUGGCCGAAUUCUCCCAUACCUUGCUCCCAGCUUUUGGAGCAAUAAGUGCGCCUCCGAAGCGCAACAAAGGAGGAAUCCUGCAUGUCGACGGAUCCAUCAACAUCAGAGGAUCCGGGGAAGGAAUAGUGCUUACUUCGCCGACAGGGAACAUGGCCUCAAGGGCCAUGACGUGCAACUUCAAAGCAACCAACAACGAAAGUGAAUGCGAGGCCUUAAUCGAUCGAUGCACAUCCAUUGUCGUCGAUCGAUACAGAAGAGACGCCUAGAUGAUUGAAGAUUAUGAUCGAUCGAUGUACAUCCUGUAACAUCGAUCAAUGCCGAGACGCGGACGCACGUCCUAGUUGCAGUCGACUUUAAACCCAAGACUUCACCAAAUUACAAGAAUACCCGUGACGAGUUUUUAACCUAAUAGAUUAUAUACUUGCUUAAGUGUUUAGAGGCAAGAGAGCUUUCAGCCACCUUUUGUGUUUUCUUAUUUUCAGUAAAGAGUUUUAGGAGAGAAGAUCAUAGAGAGAUUUGUGAUUGGAACUCCAUUUGAUUCAUCUAUUAUAUUCUAUGCAGUUUUCAUUUACAUUUUGUGUCAUGAAAUGCUUAGCUAUGUCUAAGUAGUUCACUUGUUAGAUUCAGGGUUCAAAUAGGUUAGAGGGAUUAGCCCCAACUAUAGAUUGCUAAGUUGUGGUAUUUAUUGAUAGAUUGUUCUUAACGCUUGUUCUAGAUUAGCUACCUAGAAUAUUGAAUCUAGGAAUCUGCAUGAGUCAAGCAACCUUGACCAUCCAGUCCUGAAUCUAAUCUGUUAGACUAGACGAUAGGAAAAAGACUACCGCUGAACCAGGAAGCUAGUGUUCAUUAUCAACUUGCGCCUAUGGCUUAACUAGAAGCAUCGAUCGAUACUGUCUUCUGACAAUCGAUCGAUCUUGAGAAAGGUGUAUCGAUCGAUGUCCCUAUAGGACCAUCGAUCGACACUUUCUUGUGGUCAAUAAAUGACAGUUGAUGUCCCUAUAGGACCAUCGAUCGACACUUUCGUAUGGAUGGAGUCCCUGAGGACUACCUACUGUGCACGCUCUUCAAGUCUACUCUGACUGGAGAAGCGAUGCACUGGCUUAAGCAGCUACCUGCAGGAUCUCUAACAUCCUGGACCGACAUCAAGAAUGCUAUCUUGCGAAACUUCUUUGAUGAGGCACGCACUGAAGACUUGAAGAGAAAAAUUGCUACAUUCGCGCAAGAGACUGAAGAGUUUUUUAAAGAUGCGUGGAUCAGAUUCAAGUUCUUCCAGCGUGACUGUCCACACCACGGAUUCAAUGAAGUGCAACUGCUGAGCACUUUCUUCAGAGGUAUCGCCUUGAGGUAUCAGAUGGCUCUUGAUACAGCUAGCGAGGGAAACUUUAACACUACGAAUCCGGUGGAAGCUGUGAGACUGAUAGAAAAUCUGGCAAACAGCAGCAGCACCAAGAACACUGACUUUGAGAGGAAGAAGUCUGUCGCAUCCCUAGGAAAGGAGCAGAUGGACGAAGUUAGAGCAAAGUUAGAUAUGGUUCAUGAGCUUCUUAGGAAGCAGGUCUGCUCAUCUGAAGGAGAAGUAGAUGUAGACAUGGAAGGAGAGUAAAAUGUGAACUACAUUGGAGGAACUGGAUUUCAGAGGUCUGGAAACCAGGGAGGAAACAAAAAAUUCUAUGGAAAUGGCCAUAGGAGUAACCAGAGUUCACAGUUCCAGAAACCUUUCAGCAACAACAGCAGAAGCUAUGUAAACUCAUACUACUAGAAUCCACCACCACAGACUCAGGAGAGCAAGAUUGAAUCGAUGCUUGACAAAGUUCUGGAAGGACAACAACAACUCACUGUGGAUUUCAAUGGGAAGAUAGAUUCCGUCUACAACAGUCUGAACACAAAGAUUGAGACCUUAGGGACUCAGGUGAGGAAACAUGAAAUGCAUGUACUGGUUCAGACUGCAGACACUAUAAAGAGGCAAGAAACCUUGGCUAGAGAGGCAGGAGUUGAGAAAGCAAAGCACCACGUGAAUGCCAUCUUAGAUGAUGAUUUCUGGCAAGAGGUGAAGCAUGAGAAGCUUGGAGAAGGAGAUUUCUAAGUUGAAAGCUCCAUGAGCUUCGGCGGAUCCCAAUGGUGUCGACCGAUGUCAAUGGAUGCACAUCGAUCGAAAGACCAUGACGAAGAUCGAUCAACAGAUUACUAUGGACAUCGAUCGGGGUGUAGUGCAGUUCGAAUCAUUACUCAUGAGGAAUUUUCAGAGAAACACCCUCACCCACCCUCCCCUUUCUACGUCAAAAUUGAUCGACCGCAGGAGCCAACCAUCGAUCGACAGAGAGAGACCGUCAUCGAUCGACCUACCUAAACAUCCAUCGAUCAACAGGGACCUCUCACCUACCGAGUGCGAUUACUAUUGUUGGGGUCAAAAACGGUUACGACGGAAUUACCACCUGAAAAUCCUCGGAGAUCGUAUUUCCGAAAGAGUUAGUAAAAGAAGAGAUGUAAUUUUCGUAAAAAUAACCUAUACGAGGUUAUUACGAAGAAGUAUCCUUUGGGAUUCAAACCGAACAAACCAAGCUCGGUCGCUACGUAUACACGCCGUCCGGUCGCUACGUAGCAACCAAACCCGAGCCAAGCUCGGUCGCUACGUAGCGACCGAGCGAUCGUCCCGCUCGGUCGCUACGUAGCGACCGAGCGAUCGUCCCGCUCGGUCGCUACGUAGCGACCGAGCUCGAGCCAAAGCUUGGUCGCUACGUAGCGACCGAGCUCGAGCCAAAGCUUGGUCGCUACGUAGCGACCGAGCUCAGCCAAGCUCGGUCGCUACGUAGCGACCGAGCACUCGUCCCGCUCGGUCGCUACGUAGCGACCGAGCACUCGUCCCGCUCGGUCGCUACGUAGCGACCGAGCUCAGCCAAGCUCGGUCGCUACGUAGCGACCGAGCGCUCGUCCCGCUCGGUCGCUACGUAGCGACCGAGCUCAAGCCAAAGCUCGGUCGCUACGUAGCGACCGAGCACUCGUCUCACUCGGUCGCUACGUAGCAACCGGGCUUGAGGCAAAGUUCGGUCGCUAUGUAGCGAUUGAACCUUUCCGAACAUCGAUAUGACACCAGUCCAUGCAUUCUCGUCAAACCUUCGAAUGCUAUCUCCCGAAGACAGUAGCAAGCUCAGUCCAUGUUUCCCGCUAUUCUAAGUCGUCGAUCAAACUUCGCGGAUUAGAAACCGCGGAAAACUCGUAGUAAACGUGUCGAAUCGGAAAACGGCCCAAAGGGACCUAGAACACGAUUCGAAGCCCAUCCUACGAUUUUUCUAACCGAAAGCCUGUAAACCACAUCAUGGUUUACGCUUGGCCCACAAGGAAGGAUAAAUGUCAAGUUUCCGCGGAUAAAUACGGAAGUUUCGAAGAUAAUUAUGAAGAUCGGGAAAAAUGGAAAAUCUCCAUUUUUUGCUAUGACGGCUUAGGGGCAGAAGAGUAAAAGCGUAAACCGACCUUGGAGCUAGUAUAUAAGGAGUCCUAGGCGAGGAGCAGAGGAAAGAACUUUUUUCAGAGCAAACUUAGCACUUAGAGCAAUUUAGGCAAUUUUCCGUUUUUGUUAUUUCGAGCUGCGACUCAAUUAGGUUUAGCCAUCUUAAGGCUAUUAGAACUAGGAAUCUCGCCGACAGCUCUCGGGCCCAGGCUUAUACCUUGUUGUAACGCUCAUACGCAGAUUCGGAAUAAGAUCUACUUUGCUCUCUCUUUUCGAUUUCUUAUUUUUAUCGUUGUUAUUCUCGUGUUCUGAUUGCUUGACGUGUGGUAAUUAACAGAUAUCCGGGUCCUCUGGGAAAUUAGGGUUUUCUUAGUUUCCUUAUUUAAAUGGAAAUCGACAGUGUGAAUUUCGGUUCCCACAGUUUGGCGCUAGAAGGAGGGGGACUUACGGAUCAAUCUAACCCGCAAAAGCCACACACAAUCUGACAUGUCAACCAACGACGCGGAUAACGUGCAAACUCCUCUUAAUGGAGGCAGCGGCACCGAUCUCCACACUCCAGUAGCGGACGUAUCCGCGGCCAACGCGCAAGCCAACGCCGCGACGCUCGAGGAGUUCAAAAAGAUGUUCGCCACCUAUGAGAAAAGGUCGGAAGAACAGGAUAAGCUCGUGAAUACCUUGACCAAACAGGUUGAAACCUUAACGGCAAGGACCCAAGCUAUCCGUCCCCGCGGAACCACCAAAAUCCGCGGGAAGAGGCUCGACUUCGCCACCCCACUCGAUAGAGCAGGACUCGCGCGGGAACAACCUUCCGGUCAAAACCCUAGCGAGAAAUCUCCCGUCGAAAAGGGGAACCCUGAAAAUCUUCCGCCCCCUGCAAAGGACUCGGAGGAUAACGAAGCCGAACACAUUGACCUGGACCCUAGCGAUGUCUCCAACGACACCGAUGAGGAUGUCGACAGACAUCCCAGAAGGGCCAGAAGCCGAUCCGCUCGGGAAGGCUCUGAUGUGCCUCAGUCCGAGGAACUCGACCAUCAGGAAGGUCAGGACAUUCCAACCGAGGUUCAUCGCCCCAACCAAGGCCGAGCUGUGUACCGGAUCGAUCCACGGAUGGACGGGAAGAAGCUUAGACUGGAUCCUCGACCUAUCAGCCGAACUGACCAUACUGGAUCGUCUCUCUCUCGGACAACUCGCCAAUCUCAGACUGACGGUCAAGCCAGAAGCAACUUAGGCCGAGCCGAACUAGGAACUGGACGCGACUUCUCUCUUCUCGCACGUUUGGAACGUACCGACCGUAUUGAUGAACUGAUCGAUCCAUUUGAUCAGUUCAUGCACUUUGAUCAUUCGAAUCUCUCUAAGGCACAGAUUCUUCAUCUUUCAGAAGACUUAGGACGAUUAUGGUCGAAGAUGGUUCAGGAGACGGACAAGACGGAACAGACGGACCGGCCCGCGACCGUCCUGCUCCUGGCCGCGGUUCAACAAGCCGAAGGGUCACUUUGACCAGUCCGCAAAUUGAAGAGUCUUUUUCUUUGUCUUUCAAAAUCCUAGUCAAAUGUCUUUAAUUUUAUUUGUCUUUCAAACUUCUAGUCAAGUAGCCCUUUGUCUCCUACUUGUACUAUAAAUAAGUGUUUCAUUUCAUUAAUAAAAUCAGAUCAUUUUGGAUUAAGUUGCUGAGUUUAAACUCUCUGUUCUCUUUAGAACUUGUUUUCGAUUGUCUUGGUGAGUCAUAUCCGAGCAAUUCACUUCUCAACUAGUUGGUCUUGUGAGUCAUAUCAAGCAACCAGUUCGAGAUCUUCCUUGGCGGACUUGUGAGUCAUAUCAAGCGCCAUUGAAGUCGGGAAUAUCAAGGGAACAUCCGCAACCCUUGUGCGACCCAACGUUCCAUCAGUUCUCCAUUCCGGAGUUCAUAUCCAAACGAAUCCAGUCGAGGGCAAUCCGAUCUUAGGGUCCUUCAAGUGGUAUCAGAGCCACUCUUCUGGUAUUCUAUAUCUCGAUCCAUCUUCUCAUCUUCCAUUUUCUUCUAAACACUUCUUCAUCUGUCUAUCUUGAAUCCGGGCCCCUCAUUACCAUCCACUUAUCAAAAAAAAAAAAAAAAAAAAAAAAAAAAAGAAACAAGCAAGAUCCAUAUUAUAAAAAAAAAAAAAAAAAAAAGUUUACUUUGUGGAUUGGUGGUGGAAGAGGAAGCCUGCUGGCUGAGGAGAAAUCCAGCCUUUGAGGAGGUUAAAACGGAUUUUUUUUAAAACAAAUCUCUUAUCUUUCUAUCUUUAAAAGUUCCCGUGUGUUUUGCUUAAGUUUGGCCAUCCAGAUUCCGAGAUCUGUUCUUCAUAGAACUUUGAGUGGAAACUUGAGUGAUCACUUUUAAAUCGAGAGAAACACGUGUGUGGGUGAGGAACAAACACUUGAGAGUGUGAGUUUUAAUCCUAACGUUUUGUGUUUAAGAAAUUUCAGGAACCAUGAGUAGCCAUGAAGAACAAAACCGUCCCGGAAAUUCAGUUGCUGGACUGUCUAAUCUUCAGAUGCGAGCUUUGAAUGAUUCUUUUUCUAACCUUAUAAACACAG
rnacentral:lncRNA from 1 species